UAUUCAAUAAUUUUUCAGAUUAAUCAGUCACAUUUCAGUUCUCAAUCAAUUUACAACUCUUAUCUAAAAAUAAAGAUGACAUACAAUUUCUUGAUGCUUCUUGCCUUCUGCGCAGCUGCGCAUGCUCAAUACUAUCCCAGUUAUGACGACAACCUAUCUGGAUCCCAUGGAUACUCCGACUACGGAGUUAUUGACUACGGAGUUAACUCCUCAGCUCUUCUCUCCAGUCCAAGGAGCAGAAUAUCUAGAUCCUUUACAACCCUUCCUGCAUCCUACACAUUAACCGCGUCAUUCACCCUGAAGAUUCCUCUGACUGAUAUUGGAACAUCUCUCUCUCUUGUUGUUCCCUUCUCCUUCACAUUCCCCUCCACUUCUCGUUCCUUCGACGGGAGAUCGUUCCAGGAAGAUUCUGAGACUGGUCGUUCCUUUGGUUCCACCACGCGCGCUGAUUUGUAUUCUACUCUGGAGAAAUAUAUUGCUACUGCGACAGGUAUGGAUGGUGAAGCUUGUCUGCUCCGAGCUGUUUGUGAGGUUGGAGCUGCCCCUGAACACGAGGAUGGUUUGAUGGGAGAUGCUGUAACAACCCUGCUGACUGCUACCAAUACUUAUACAUCCAUCACCAAUCCUUCACAGCACGCAAACCAGUACGCUGAGGCUCAGCUCACAGGACAGAUGAGUGGUAACUGUAAAAAGUAUGCUGAGAAGUGCCCUAUGUCUCUUUUCAAUCUGAUCGAACGAGUUUAAUAAAAAUCGAAGCUAUGCCAAAUACUGAUCAACUGAACUAAUCAAUUCUCUAAUCAGAUAAUAAAGACUGACCUCAAAAUGUUGAAUUCAACUCGAUAAACCCGACUUUAUACAUUCUUCAAAGGCAUUAUUCAUUUAUGUAAAAGUAAUUUACAUAUGGACAAAACGACAUGUUAUUAAAUUGUUUGCGUUUAUUGUUAAGAUUUGUUAUAAUUUUAUUGUUAUUGUUUUUAGAUUUAUUCAUUAUUGUUACUCGGUUUUUAUUUGACAUGUUCUCAAAUGUGAUACAGGGUACAUGUAAUGUACAAGUGUUAUGUAUGU
rnacentral:misc_RNA from 1 species